rnacentral:lncRNA from 1 species
AUGUCCUGCCGGCACAGGGGCCGCGCUGUCGGGUUCAGGCAGGUGGAAUGUCCUGCCGGCACAGGGGCCGCGCUGUCCAGUUCAGCCUGGUGGAGCGUCCUGCCGGCACAGGGACCGCGCUGUCCAGUUCAGCCUGGUGGAACGUCCUGCUGGUACAGGGGCCACGCUGUCGGGUUCAGCCUGGUGGAAUGUCCUGCCGGCACAGGGACCGCACUGUCGGGUUCAGGCAGGUGGAAUGUCCUGCCGGCACAGGGACCGCGCUGUCGGGUUCAGCCUGGUGGAACGUCCUGCCGGCACAGGGACCGCGCUGUCCAGUUCAGCCUGGUGGAGCGUCCUGCCGGCACAGGGACCGCGCUGUCCAGUUCAGCUAACGUCUCCACCGUAUCAUGGGUCCGACCAUUUGUCCUUACCCGAAGCGUGCCCUGUUUCCCUCACGGAUUUAGGUCUUUAAUUAUGAAACGAGCACACAUUAAGGGGCCCAGGACUUGGGCCGCUGGCGGGGUCAUCGUAGGCAGUGCCCCUUGGUCUCUCAGAUCUCCGCCUGCCUCCCCAGUCUGCUCCCCAGAAUGCGACGUGGCGACUCGCGCCCCUUUGGUUGCCGCCAGGGUGGUGCGUCUUCUCCAAGCUGGGUCCGAUGCACACGCGUCUUCCUCGCUCAGGCUGGCUCGGGCAGGCCGCGCGGGGCUGGGGCUUGUCUGGCAGUCUCGGUCUCAGAGCUGGUGUGUUCAGGGCAGGGUGCUGCGGCUACCGCUGAAGCAGCUGAAUCCACGCCUCCAGGCGGUCCCUGUGUUCCCGCUCCUGGCCUUUGGCCUUUGGCCUUUGGCCUUUGGCCUUUGGUCUGUUCUGUGUUUGACUUGUGCGCUUUUUCGGCUUCUGGUUUUGAGCAUCUUCAUUCUCCGGUGUCCCUGUCUUGCGAAGCAUCCCGGUUCUACUUCCUGCUUCUCCCUUUGCCGCGGUGGCCCCGGGUCUGCCUUCCCACAGUCCGGCUCCUCCUCACAGGCCGUGCAAGCGCCCAGGGCCACACAACCUUUCCAGCUUCCUCUGCUCCCCGUGGACCCUGCUGUCACCCAUUUCACAACAGAGAGAGGACUUCAAGGAGCUGGUGGGAAAAUGGAAUUAAAGAGAUGUUUAUUCUGGUCCCAUGAAAUUUGGACUCUACCCCCAGUUUUCUCACAGCUCACAAUUUCUUUUCUUUUCUUUUUUUUUUUUUUGACAGGCAGAGUGGACAGUGAGAGAGAGAGACAGAGAGAAAGGUCUUCCUUUGCCGUUGGUUCACCCUCCAAUGGCCGCCGCGGCCGGCGCGCUACGGCCGGCGCACCGCACAGAUCCGAUGGCAGGAGCCAGGUGCUUUUCCUGGUCUCCCAUGGGGUGCAGGGCCCAAGCACCUGGGCCAUCCUCCACUGCACUCCCGGGCCACAGCAGAGGGCUGGCCUGGAAGAGGAGCAACCAGGACAGAAUCCGGCGCCCCGACCGGGACUAGAACCCGGUGUGCCAGUGUCGCAAGACGGAGGAUUAGCCUAG